rnacentral:rRNA from 1 species
ACGCUCGACACCUACGGGAGGCAGCAGGUGGGGAAUAUUGCACAAUGGGGGAAACCCGUGAUGCAGCGACGCCGCGUGGAGGAAGAAGGUCUUCGGAUUGUAAACUCCUGUUGUUGGGAAAAGAGGAUGGUACCCAACAAGGAAGUGACGGCUAACUACGUGCCACAGCCGCGGUAAUCUGAGCGGGCUGGCAAGGC